rnacentral:rRNA from 1 species
AACGAACGCUGGCGGCAUGCCUAACACAUGCAAGUCGAACGAGACCUUCGGGCCUUGUUGCGCACGGGUGCGUACCGCCUGGUAACCUGCCCUUAGGUUCGGAAUACCUCCCCGAAAGAGGUGCUCAUACCAGAUAAUCUCUUCGGACCUAAGAUGUCUCGCCUCUGGAUGGGCGCGCGUUGGAUUCGCCAGUUGGUAGGGUAAAAGCCUACCAAGGCGACGAUGCAUAGCUGGUCUGUGAGCAUGAUCAGCCACACUGGGACUGAGACACGGACCACACUCCUACGGGAGGGAGCAGUGGGUAAUAUUGGACGAGGGGGGAAGGUGUGAUCCAGCAAUGCCGCGGAAGUGGUGAAGGCGGUAGGAUUGUGAAGCUCUUUGACACGGGAUGAUAAUGACAGUACCGGGAGAAUAAGCUCCGGCUAACUCCGUG